CGCGUUUUUAGGUGUAAUCGCUUGACCAAUCCGGAAUCUCCUUCUGCCGGGAAGAAGAGGUUGCUUUCCACUACUGAACGCAACAGACCUCAGUACUGAAUUGUUUGCUGACUGGCUUGGAGAAAUCCUCACACCCUUAACCUCAUGGAAGUCUUCUGUGUUGUCAUGGUGUGAAAGAGAAAACUCACCUUCUCUUACCUGAAGCCUCGUGUUUGCCAAAGAAGAAAAAUGAAUGUGAUGACUUACAUGUGGUAUGCAAGAUAUAAAUUGAAUGACAGUUCAGAUUGUGAGUUCCCAG